rnacentral:rRNA from 1 species
GACGAACGCUGGCGGCGUGCUUAACACAUGCAAGUCGUACGGUAAGGCCCUUUCGGGGGUACACGAGUGGCGAACGGGUGAGUAACACGUGAGUAACCUGCCCACAACUUUGGGAUAACGCUAGGAAACUGGUGCUAAUACUGGAUAUGUGCUCCUGCUGCAUGGUGGGGGUUGGAAAGCUCCGGCGGUUGUGGAUGGACUCGCGGCCUAUCAGCUUGUUGGUGGGGUAGUGGCCUACCAAGGCGGCGACGGGCAGCCGGCCUGGGAGGGUGACCGGCCACAUUGGGAAUGGGGUACGGCCCAGACUCCUACGGGAGGCAGCAGUGGGGAAUAUUGCACAAUGGGCGCAAGCCUGAUGCAGCAACGCCGCGGGCGGGAUGACGGCCUUCGGGUUGUAAACCGCUUUCAGCAGGGACGAAGCUUUUUGUGACGGUACCUGCAGAAGAAGCACCGGCUAACUACGUG